rnacentral:rRNA from 1 species
UACGGGGGGGGCAAGCGUUGUUCGGAAUUACUGGGCGUAAAGGGCUCGUAGGUGGCCAACUAAGUCAGACGUGAAAUCCCUCGGCUUAACCGGGGAACUGCGUCUGAUACUGGAUGGCUUGAGUUUGGGAGAGGGACGCGGAAUUCCAGGUGUAGCGGUGAAAUGCGUAGAUAUCUGGAGGAACACCGGUGGCGAAGGCGGAUCUCUGGACCAGUUCUGACACUGAUGAGCGAAAGCCAGGGGAGCAAACAGG